rnacentral:rRNA from 1 species
GAUGAACGCUAGCGGGAGGCCUAACACAUGCAAGCCGAGCGGUAUUGUUUCUUCGGAAAUGAGAGAGCGGCGUACGGGUGCGUAACACGUGUGCAACCUGCCUUUAUCUGGGGGAUAGCCUUUCGAAAGGAAGAUUAAUACUCCAUAAUAUAUUGAACGGCAUCGUUUAAUAUUGAAAGCUCCGGCGGAUAGAGAUGGGCACGCGCAAGAUUAGCUAGUUGGUGAGGUAACGGCUCACCAAGGCGAUGAUCUUUAGGGGGCCUGAGAGGGUGAUCCCCCACACUGGUACUGAGACACGGACCAGACUCCUACGGGAGGCAGCAGUGAGGAAUGUUGGUCAAUGGGUGCAAGCCUGAACCAGCCAUCCCGCGUGAAGGACGACUGCCCUAUGGGUUGUAAACUUCUUUUGUAUAGGGAUAAACCUACCCUCGAGAGGGUAGCUGAAGGUACUAUACGAAUAAGCACCGGCUAACUCCGUG